AUUUGAUGAUGUGGACAUUGUAUUUGUAACUCCCUAAAUCUUUCCCAGGCUUCAAAGAAUUCUUCCGUAUGAUUUUGUCUAAAAGUUUGGAUUUUGUUUCUUAACUC
rnacentral:snoRNA from 1 species